UUGGCAAUUUUACCACCAACAAGUACCAUGAAAAUCCGCCAGGCGGCAUUUUUGACACGUGGCGAAAAAUAUGCGAUACAGUCUGAUAAUCGACUGCACGGAUAGCAGCCAUUGAAUUGUUUUCUGGACCGUACCGUGAUGUUUGUUGGAGCAAAGUGGAGAAAGUAUGCAAUACAGGGUUGAAUCAGAUAACAUGACAUCAAUGGCAAGAGGAGAAAAGAUGGGGAAAACAUCACCAAAUUCAGUCCAGGGAAACAGGUGGCAGAUAUGUUAUACAGGGAUUCAGCUGGACACUUGACUGGCACAAACAUCCACCAAGGAACAACACGCGGUCCCCCUCCUGGCCUAGAAAUUCAGUCCUGAUGCCAACUGCCUCUUGUCGAUGCCUUCGAGAUGGGAUCCUGGUAGUAUCCACCAGACUCCUUUGCAGGCUCAGAGGAGAUCAGCCAAGAAAGGAUGUUACUGACCAGGGGAGUUAGCUGGCCAUUAAAUGAGGGGCAGUGCAGCAGGCCAUUAAGUCAGUAAUGGCUAAUUUCAAACAAAAUCGAGUCUGAUAAGGCUGAUUACAUACAUACUGAUUGCCUAUAUUUGUUUUGCAUCUUUAAGUUUUGACAGGGAUCGAAUCAUGAUAGUUUUAUCGUUUUAUCAAUGUGAGGAAAGCUCCUUGGUUGUAUAGAUAUUAGAUUUGUCUAUUCAAUCGACCAUUAUUCUAAACAUAAGUUACAGUUAACUGCUGCCAACAUGCAACAGAGCAAUCAGUGUAAUCAAUGAUGUGACAGAAAAUAAAGUUUUCCA